GUAAUGUUACUUGAUUUUCAAAUACAAACUUGAUGCAUCUCUCAUGGAGAUAUAAGUCCUGGCUUUGCACUAAUCAGCUGAGCAAUUACAGGAGGAUCAGCAAGCACUAAUAUUGCAGUUGAUUUAACAAUUUGCAUGCACUAGGGAAUUUGCCAUUAUUCAGUAUUUAACUAAAGGCGUAAAGAUUUCACUUCAUUCAUGAAUGAUACUAUCCGGGACUCAUCCUUUUCGAUGCCAUCCUGUCCACAUAUGCCACUACUGACAUCCACUCCAUUGGGUUUAAGAGCAGAAAGAGCUUCACAAACAUUCUCCGGGUUAAUUCCUCCAGCCAAGAGCCAUCCAUGUUUGCUUCUAAUUGAUGGUAGCUUAAACUGAGCCCAAUUGAACCCUUUGCCACUGCCACCUUUGGCACUGUCCACUAGAAUCCAAUCAACCAGAGAAGACUCCUCAUCUGAAACAGAGUUAAUAAGGCCUCCUUCUUCAUUAACAUGAAGAACAUAUACUAAACGUUUCUCUCCGACUAAAACUGGAAAAGCAUCUCGAGAUCCAUUUCCAUGAAGCUGCACUAAUUCAAGGUCUGCUGCAUCAGAGGCCCUUAGUAUUGUGUCAGCAUUAUCAUCUACAAACACACCAACUGGCUGAGCUCCAUAUUCCCGCGCAACCUUCGAGAUUUCCUUUGCAGUGGAAAGUGAAACUGAACGUUUUGAGUUAGGCCAUAUGAUCAUACCAAUAAAAUUGGCUCCCGCUUCUGCUGCAAGAGCAGCAUCUCUAGCUGAUGUAAUUCCACACAUUUUGACUAAAGUCCUACUUUCUGUUUGUGCUGCUUGAGCCGAGACUCCUGUUGACUGAUUUAAUGUGCACAUAAAUCUGUUGCUGGUGGAAGUCCUCAGUUGUGCUCUAUUUAUAGAAUAUACUUCUACAUCCAAUACACCUUGACUUCUGGGAAGGCCUAUUACUCUUGGUUGAAGCUGAGCUCCCAUGUUGAACACUGAGAGCAUCCUUCCUUCUUAAUUCUAUUCUACCACUAUUGUGAUACUCGAGAGAGGAGAGAUACCGC
rnacentral:misc_RNA from 1 species